GUGUAUCAAAUGCAGGUAGGAAGCGUUGCCCUAAAUCUUCAGCCAGCCAAAGCAACUGAUUCUUGUAAGAUCCUUGAAGCAAUCUAUUUGUAGAGUCAGUUGCAAGAAGAUGAGCAGAAAUAAGUCCUCCAAGAACUCUUAUAUUGCACUCAAAUAGGUUUACCCUUGCAUCAACAUCAAAUUUUAGAUUUUCAGAAAGCCAAAGAACUGCCCUUCCAAAUUCUGUGUAAUUGCCUAAAAUAACAAGGCUAGAC
rnacentral:misc_RNA from 1 species